AUGCUGCUGUUUAGAUGGUUUGUUUGUAUGUGUACAGUAAUCACUCCUGAAUUUGUCUUUCUGUUGCAGGGGGAACCAGGUCUGCCAGGUGCAGAAAAACUCUCGGUUGAGCAGCAAGCUCAAAAAGGGGACCAGGGUCCCCCAGGAAUUCCUGGAGAAAAGGGAGACGCUGGCCUGCCGGGUCAAACAGGAGCACCAGGGAAAGAGGGCAAAAGGGGUCGACGGGGGAAGACAGGAGAACCAGGGACUCCAGGACCCCCGGUAAGAAUUACAGUUUAUAGUAUGUGUAACAUUUGACAAGAAAAUUACCAAAAGUGAAACUUGGUCGCUUUGAAAAGCUGAAUGGCCUUUUCCAACCAAUCAUGAUCUUGGGAGUGCAACAGGAGAAGAAAAUGAAAAUUAAUUCAAAAUAUAUUCUCAGUAAUCCAACAUUGUUAUUAUUUUUCUAACAGUUUUUACAUGAAUUUGCAAAGACCCCACAAAGUAUUUCUAUAUACAAGUGUGCAUUUGCUUUAUUCCCGCCUGCCUGAUUUGAUAUCUUAUUAUAUACAGUAAUACAAUGAAAUUCAAAAAUAGUUUCUAGUGUCCAAUUACUCUUUAGAGGCUCUGCAUCUUGUUUUAGACAUAUCUUGAUAUUUUUACAGCUCAGGAAUUGAUUUGAUCCGCAUUAGCAAAUAAUAAACGAAGUGGAUUGGUUCUGAGGAUUUAGUUGUAUUAAAUUAGUGCAGAAAAUCCCUAUUAAAUAAAUCAAAAAAUAAAUAACUUCAAGUUUGAUACCAGAUAUUUGAUAUAUAUGAGCAUUAAUAUCAAGCCCACACAGAAUGUGUUGCCGCAAAGCUCUGCAGAAAUCUCCACAUAUUUCUAUGCCUGUCAUUCAAAAAGUUUUAAACCCUUAGUGUUUUUUUCAUAAGUUUAUUUCAGCUACUAACAAGUGUAGUAACUCUAUUUUACCAUAUUUAAAUCCAUGCUCCAGCAUUCUGCAAAUUUCUCCUAUCACUUGAAAUGUAAAGUCUAGAUGGCCGAAAGUAUUUCAAGUUUAGAAAUGUUUUUGUUCCCAAAUGCUGUUUAAAAUGGUUCAUUUUAAUAAAAUGGAAUUAGAAUAUAAAUAAAUGUUAAAUUGAUAUAAAUACAUGUAGGUUUUGAAAUGCAGCUCAUUUUUACCAUUUAGUUUAUAUCAUUUCUCAUUUCCUUCCCCCGCUAUUCGUUUCAGAUUCAGAAAGCAUAACUGUUGUCAUAAAUCUGCUUCAAAAGCAAACCAAAUUUGUCAUUGUGCAUAAUGGACAGAUACCUGCUGCUAUAUUAAUCCCCCUCCAGAUGAGUUUUCUUGGUUUAUGCGUUGGUUCAAUUGAAAUCUCCAUCACAUGCGCUGUUUAGCUCAACGUUUCAAAUUACGAUUUCAAGCAGCCCAGAGGGCCAUAUUAAGAGCAGUCCCAUGCAUAAGUGUUAUUGAAGAUCCUAAUGAGACUCUCAAAGGGGCCCUAUUUUACUGCUUGAAUAAUAGUCAUCUCUUCAAAGCUGUGGCAUCAGUAUGGAAAUGUCUGUGACAUAAAAAUCACACACACACACACACACACAAUCUUCAGGCUUUGAAACCUAUGUUGCAUCAUACAUUUCUGGCAUUUUUACAUUGCCUUUGGCUUUGUGGUUGUACCCACAUAUGUAGAACAGUGUAAGUUAAGUGGAAAAUGAGUGAUUAAUAGAUUGCUAUACUGAGUGAAGAGGAAUAAAGGAAUACUUCUCUACAUAAUAGAAUUCAAGAGAGUGCAAAUAAUGCCAGAAUUUCCAAGACCAUUUGACUUUUUUUUUUCUUCUUUUUUUUAUAGACUUCAUGGUUGCUCUGUUUUUCACACAAAGCCAUCAUGUUGCUACAGAAGAACUUGAUGUAUCAUAUGGAACACAUUUAUGUAUCAUUUAUAUGAUGUUUUAGACUCAGUUCAUUGUAAAUGCAUUUUCUAGAAAGCAAAUAUGGCUGAGUUUUCAUUUUUGGUUCUGCUGUAUCUUUAAAGAUUAAGUAAGCUGUAAACCGAAUAACAAAUACUACCAGAUCUGCUCUGCAUACUAACAAUGUCUGACCGUUUAGUUUCACACAUUCCAUUACAGGAAAGUUAUAAAAUGGUGGACGCAAUCAUAAGUGUCGGGAGGGAAGAGGUUGUGACAUUUUUAAAUGGCAGUGUCUAGAUAAUUUCCAUGGCAUGUGCCAACCUUGCUUCUGUCCUCGGGAGCUGGCAUUUAUGAGUGGCCUGUCGUCUGUGGUGUUUGGGAGGAGGAGGAGGAGGGCCUCGGGCAGCACAGACAUCCUCCCCCAGCCUCGAGGUGUCGAGGAAUGCCACGUGCAGUCCAGGAGGCCCUUAUCUAU
ensembl:lncRNA